UUUUUUACUGUUUUUAUUUUGAUAUACCCUAUUCCGUACGGUGGCCCUGAGAGGCCAGGGUGCUGCAAAUUAAAAAAACCGCUGCAAAUAAAAAGAAACACCGCGAUGCAGAUAAACAAAGCAAUGACGCAAAUAAAAAAGCGGAAGAGACUGUUACUGCCGAUGCGCAUGCGUUUUUUUAUGCGAGAGAAGAAGAAGGCAGGGGGAUCUCCAGGAAACAUCUCAUGGUGGAGAUCCUUCAUGACUUGACGAUACGGAACAGUGCCAUGUGGCAGACUGCUGGGUGCUUCAGACAUGUCAGGUCAUGUGAAGGGAAAAAAAAAUCAUUGUAGAGGAGUACCUGAAGUGGUACAUUAUCCACAGGAACAACACUGCAAUCGAAAGAUUCAAGGCUGGACUUGAAAGUUUGCUGUUUCUGACAGCUCUGCAGCAGCAUCCGACGGUCCUGACCCCUGCUCUCUGUCAUGCCGAUGUGAAGCUGUCUGCUGCAGAGAUGGAAAAUCUGUUUCAGCCUGAACUUAGUCAACAGGGAAGCAACAGAAGGGCUCAGGAAGAGAAAGCUAUGAGUUACUGGGCAGACUAUGUUCUCGAUUCUGAAGAAAAUGACAGUUCAGUGACCUUGGAGGAGGUGUUAAUGUUCACUACAGGUGUGCCAUGUGUGCCUCCUGCUUGUAUGAGUCCUCUGCCACGCCUUCAGUUCCUAUCUUCUACAACGUCAACAUUCCCAAUGGCAAAUGCCUGUGCCAACAUUUUAAAGCUUCCUCUUUUGGACACUUAUGGUGCCUUCAAAGCCAACAUGAACUUUGGCAUUAAGAAUUUCCCCGGCUUUGGGUGCCUCUAAACAAUUAAAUAACUUGUGGUUAAAGUUAAUGUUGCCGCUCACAGUACACAGUCAGUAGUUUUAAUGUUGCGGUGUGUCAGACCUAAAUGUUGUGACAUAAGAGAGAUGUGUGAGAGUUUUUCAUGGCAGUUUUGUCAUAUUUCAUAUAUAACAUAUGAACAACACCACACAUUUGUAUUGUGUUGUUCUCGUCAGGUAAACCAUGGUUAAGUCAAGAGUUCAGAACAUGUGUUAAGAAGAUGUUUUACAAAUAUUUACAUAAACAGUAAAUAAAGACUGCAAAAGGCGCCUUGUAGUGCAAAUGUGCCAAUUCUGUUUUGGCCAUUUUAUCAACAUGUUUUUACAUGGACUUUGUUAAAGAGCAAAGCUGAAUGACUCUUCAUUAAAUGGUUUGAGAGUGUUUCAUUUUAACGUAAGGACUUGUUUUUCUACGUAUAGCAUAUAUGUUACCAGUGUUGGGAAGGAUACUUUCAAAACGUAUUCCGUUACAGAAUACAGAAUACAUGCCCAAAAAUGUAAUUUGUAACGUAUUCCGUUACAUUAGUCAAUCUGAGUAACGUAUUCUGAAUACUUGGAUUACUUCCACAUUGAAUUGCAUUUUAUACGUGUAGGAAUAUGCCCAUCAAAUCCUGCUUACUAAACAGCCCUAUUCUGGUGUGUUCUUCU